UCCGUCAGCUAGCUCUCUGCAACUCUCACAUGGUUGCCCCCUGAAGCUAAGCAUUGCUGCACCAGGACAGUACCUGGAUGGGAGACCACAUAAGGGAAGCUAGGUUGCUGCUGGAA
rnacentral:rRNA from 1 species